CUGAAAUAAUAAGCAGGCAAACUGAAGAGGGCCAAAGAACCAAUACAGGGUAUCUGAUUCAUGAUUUUACAAAGGUCUUCGAAUGUCCUGCUUGAAAACUGUCUGCCCACUUGAGAUUUUCCACAAGUCUUCCCAAACCACCAUAAAUGGAAAGGAUGAAAUACAGAAGAAGAACAAUUCCACUGUUAUUACUUUUAUUGUUUUUAUGGGCUUUGCACAGACAGUAUCAUGCUAGCACAAAGAAACUACUGAGGAUAUACCGGUGCUGG
rnacentral:lncRNA from 1 species